rnacentral:lncRNA from 1 species
AAUGAAGUACUGAUUUAGGAUAAGGAUAAGAUUGUCCCACUUUCUUAUCAUUAUCAUUCAGGAUUCAGUGACAAGCAUUAUUUCAUACCAUUUAGUUUUAAUGACAAAACCGUUAUUAUCAUGGAUCUUUGGUUUGUUUGGUUUGCGAGAACCAUCAGUGUAAUUCUGCCCAUUUUAAAUGUUCUUCUUGGAUCUCCUUUGUGGUUUUCUCCUGCUAGAACUGUUGUUUAUCCUAUCCUUUGCAUACCUUACGCAUUCUUUGGAGCUCUGGAAAGAGCUUAUUUACUUAUAUCUGUAAAACAGCAGUAAGUUUAUUUCUGAUCAAAGCCCAGCAGUGCAUCUCAUUGAAACUAAGACCCACUUCCAUACUUGGGUACAAAUCAGGCAGUUUUAAAUUGGCAGCUGUAGUCACAAUUCCUCGGGCUGAUGCUUUUAUCUGCAUCCUGAGCAUUAAAGCUUGUGAAUAUGCUUGUCCUCUUUUAUAAAGAGACUCACUUCAUGUUGAUAACUUGGUGUUUGGUUGUAUGCAGUAAGAAGGAUUAUAACCAACCUUGGGAUCUGUAGGGGACUAUUGAAGACGAUAAAGAACUCUCCUCUUAUGAAUUUCAGUACUAAUCAGAAUGUGUGGCGGGAAGCAAAUAUUACUGCAGAUGAGUGAACUAUUUUAGUGGGAAACUUCAAGGCUGGUAUAAUCCCAGUGUUCAUUUCUGCUUUUUUUUUAUGUAUUAUUAGUAUGACUUUUCUCAUGGAUAGAACCAUUGCUAGGGUUGUAACAACCCUUAGGUAUUAAUUAAUGUUUGGACUUGAAUGUUUUUAUUAGGAAUGUUUUACUAUGCCUAUUAUGUUACAGUUUGGUGGUUCAGAAGAUAUAGUUUAUGGUUAAAUUUACUCUUAAUUGAUGAAACAAGUGGACUAUGAGGAGAAGAAAAUAUUGUUUGAUAACACUAAUAGCCGAAUAAAUUAAAGCUGUGUUAAGCAGAUCCCUAUUAGAAAAG